GCACUCACUUCGGAAGCAUCUCUACUAAAAUUGGAACAAUACAGGGAAGAUUAGCGUGACCCCCACUCCCCCGCCCCUGCUCAAGGACAGCACUCAAAUUUGUGAAGCAUCCUGUAUUUUU
rfam:Canis lupus familiaris chromosome 17, whole genome shotgun sequence.